GACGAACGCUGGCGGCGUGCUUAACACAUGCAAGUCGAACGGAAAGGCCCUGCUUUUGUGGGGUGCUCGAGUGGCGAACGGGUGAGUAACACGUGAGUAACCUGCCCUUGACUUUGGGAUAACUUCAGGAAACUGGGGCUAAUACCGGAUAGGAGCUCCUGCCGCAUGGUGGGGGUUGGAAAGUUUCGGCGGUUGGGGAUGGACUCGCGGCUUAUCAGCUUGUUGGUGGGGUAGUGGCUUACCAAGGCUUUGACGGGUAGCCGGCCUGAGAGGGUGACCGGCCACAUUGGGACUGAGAUACGGCCCAGACUCCUACGGGAGGCAGCAGUGGGGAAUAUUGCACAAUGGGCGGAAGCCUGAUGCAGCAACGCCGCGUGCGGGAUGACGGCCUUCGGGUUGUAAACCGCUUUCGCCUGUGACGAAGCGUGAGUGACGGUAAUGGGUAAAGAAGCACCGGCUAACUACGUGCCAGCAGCCGCGGUGAUACGUAGGGUGCGAGCAUUGUCCGGAUUUAUUGGGCGUAAAGGGCUCGUAGGUGGUUGAUCGCGUCGGAAGUGUAAUCUUGGGGCUUAACCCUGAGCGUGCUUUCGAUACGGGUUGACUUGAGGAAGGUAGGGGAGAAUGGAAUUCCUGGUGGAGCGGUGGAAUGCGCAGAUAUCGGGAGGAACACCAGUGGCGAAGGCGGUUCUCUGGGCCUUUCCUGACGCUGAGGAGCGAAAGCGUGGGGAGCGAACAGGCUUAGAUACCCUGGUAGUCCACGCUGUAAACGGUGGGUACUAGGUGUGGGGUCCAUUCCACGGGUUCCGUGCCGUAGCUAACGCUUUAAGUACCCCGCCUGGGGAGUACGGCCGCAAGGCUAAAACUCAAAGGAAUUGACGGGGCCCCGCACAAGCGGCGGAGCAUGCGGAUUAAUUCGAUGCAACGCGUAGAACCUUACCUGGGUUUGACAUGGAUCGGGAGUGCUCAGAGAUGGGUGUGCCUCUUUUGGGGUCGGUUCACAGGUGGUGCAUGGCUGUCGUCAGCUCGUGUCGUGAGAUGUUGGGUUAAGUCCCGCAACGAGCGCAACCCUUGUUCACUGUUGCCAGCACGUUAUGGUGGGGACUCAGUGGAGACCGCCGGGGUCAACUCGGAGGAAGGUGGGGAUGACGUCAAGUCACCAUGCCCCUUAUGUCCAGGGCUUCACGCAUGCUACAAUGGCUGGUACAGAGAGUGGCGAGCCUGUGAGGGUGAGCGAAUCUCGGAAAGCCGGUCUCAGUUCGGAUUGGGGUCUGCAACUCGACCUCAUGAAGUCGGAGUCGCUAGUAAUCGCAGAUCAGCAACGCUGCGGUGAAUACGUUCCCGGG
rnacentral:rRNA from 1 species